rnacentral:rRNA from 1 species
AUUGAACGCUGGCGGCAGGCCUAACACACGCAAGUCGAGCGGAUGACGGGAGCUUGCUCCUUGAUUCAGCGGCGGACGGGUGAGUAAUGCCUAGGAAUCUGCCUGGUAGUGGGGGACAACGUUUCGAAAGGAACGCUAAUACCGCAUACGUCCUACGGGAGAAAGCAGGGGACCUUCGGGCCUUGCGCUAUCAGAUGAGCCUAGGUCGGAUUAGCUAGUAGGUGAGGUAAUGGCUCACCUAGGCGACGAUCCGUAACUGGUCUGAGAGGAUGAUCAGUAACACUGGAACUGAGACACGGUCCAGACUCCUACGGGAGGCAGCAGUGGGGAAUAUUGGACAAUGGGCGAAAGCCUGAUCCAGCCAUGCCGCGUGUGUGAAGAAGGUCUUCGGAUUGUAAAGCACUUUAAGUUGGGAGGAAGGGUUGUACGUUAAUACCGUGCAAUUUUGACGUUACCGACAGAAUAAGCACCGGCUAACUCUGUGCCAGCCGCCGCAGUAACAC